rnacentral:rRNA from 1 species
GAUGAACGCUGGCGGCGUGCUUAACACAUGCAAGUCGAACGGUGAAAGAGAGCUUGCUCUCUGGAUCAGUGGCGAACGGGUGAGUAACACGUGAGCAAUCUGCCCCUGACUCUGGGAUAAGCGCUGGAAACGGCGUCUAAUACCGGAUACGAGCUGCGAAGGCAUCUUCAGCAGCUGGAAAGAACUUCGGUCAGGGAUGAGCUCGCGGCCUAUCAGCUAGUUGGUGAGGUAAUGGCUCACCAAGGCGUCGACGGGUAGCCGGCCUGGGAGGGUGACCGGCCACACUGGGACUGAGACACGGCCCAGACUCCUACGGGAGGCAGCAGUGGGGAAUAUUGCACAAUGGGCGCAAGCCUGAUGCAGCAACGCCGCGUGAGGGACGACGGCCUUCGGGUUGUAAACCUCUUUUAGCAGGGAAGAAGCGAAAGUGACGGUACCUGCAGAAAAAGCACCGGCUAACUACGUGCCAGCAGCCGCCGUAAGAC